CAAAUAGUUCCUCCAUCUCAAAUUUUUUGUCUUAGAUUUAUCUAGAUAUAAAUGUAUGUAUUCACGUUUUAUUAUUUUGAUACAUCUAUUUCUAAACGAACUUAAGACAAGAAUUUUGAGCCGGAGGGAGUACGUA
rnacentral:pre_miRNA from 2 species